rnacentral:piRNA from 1 species
UGUGUUUGGUAUGAUGAUAGAUCUUU